rnacentral:rRNA from 1 species
GCCUCGGUAGUUCCGUCAGCUUCAAGUUGUCGUUCGCUUUUAUUUGGGCCGUUCUUCUUCAGGUAGCCUUUGUGGUAUAUCGUGUGGGUAAAUCAACCUAGCUUAACUUGGUUGAAUUCUGCAGAGACUGCCAGACUAGGGACCGGGAGAUGUUUGGGUGUACUCUCGGGGGUAGGGGUAAAAUCCUGUCAUCCUGGGAGGACCACCAGUUGCGAAGGCGCCACACUGGAACGGAUCCGACGUUCAGGGACGAAGCCUAGGGGCACGAACCUGGAUUAGAUACCCGGGUAGUCCUAGGAGUAAACGCUGUGAACUUGGUGUCGGGGAUCCUACUUGGGUUCCCGGUGCCGGAGUGAAGAUGUUAAGUUCACUGCCUGGGGAGUACGGUCGCAAGGCUGAAACU